rnacentral:rRNA from 1 species
AAUAUUGGACAAUGGGCGAAAGCCUGAUCCAGCCAUGCCGCGUGCGUGAAGAAGGUCUUCGGAUCGUAAAGCACUUUAAGUUGGGAGGAAGGGUUGUAGGUCAAUACCCUGCACUUAUGACGUUACCAACAGAAUAAGCACCGGCUAAUUGCGUGCCAGCAGCCGCGGUACUACGAAGGGUUCAAGCGUUAAUCGGAAUACCUGGGCGUAAAGCGCGCGUAGGUGGUUUGUUAAGUUGGAAGUAAAAGCCCCGGGCUUAACCUGGGAAUUGCUUUCAAAACUGACGAGCUAGAGUACGGUAGAGGGUAGUGGAAUUUCCUGUGUAGCGGUGAAAUGCGUAGAUAUAGGAAGGAACACCAGUGGCGAAGGCGACUACCUGGACUGAUACUGACACUGAGGUGCGAAAGCGUGGGGAGCAAACAGG